rnacentral:rRNA from 1 species
GACGAACCGUGCGAACGUUAUUCGGAAUCACUGGGCUUAAAGCGCGUGUAGGCGGGUCGGCACGUCCGUGGCUGAAAGCCCCCGGCUCAACCGGGGAAGUGGCGCGGAUACGGCCGAGCUGGAGGGGGGUAGGGGGACCUGGAACUUCCGGUGGAGCGGUGAAAUGCGUUGAGAUCGGAAGGAACGCCCGUGGCGAAAGCGAGGUCCUGGACCCUUUCUGACGCUGAGACGCGAAAGCCAGGGGAGCGAACGGG